rnacentral:rRNA from 1 species
GCUGAAAUUCGCCUUCAUGAAGUCGGAAUUGCUAGUAAUGGCAGGUCAGCAUACUGCCGUGAAUACGUUCCCGGGCCUUGUACACACCGCCCGUCACACCAUGAGAGUUGGAGAUACCCGAAGCCUAUGAGCUUAACUUUUAGAGGCAGUAGUCGAAGGUAGAAUCAAUGAUUGGGGUGAAGUCGUAACAAGGUAUC